CACGUAGGGGGCGAGCGUUGUCCGGAUUCAUUGGGCGUAAAGCGCGCGCAGGCGGCUCGGAAAGUCGGGUGUGAAAACUCGGGGCUCAACCCCGGGCGUGCAUCCGAUACUGCCGGGCUUGAGGCAGGUAGGGGAGAUCGGAAUUCCUGGUGUGAGCGGUGAAAUGACGCAGAUAUCAGGAGGAACACCGGUGGCGAAGGCGGAUCUCUGGGCCUGUCCUGACGCUGAGGCGCGAAAGCUAGGGGAGCGAACAGG
rnacentral:rRNA from 1 species